CUGCAACCUCCGCCUCCUGAGUUCAAGUGAUUCUCCUACCUUAACCUCCUGAGUAGCUGGGAUUACAGGUGCACGCCACGACGCCCAGCUAAUUUUUGUAUUUUUAGUAGAGACAGGGUUUCACUAUGUUGGCCAGGAUGGUCUCGAUCUCUUGACCUUGUGAUCCGCCUGCCUUGGCCUUCCAAAGUGCUAGGAUUACAGGCGUGAGCUGCUGCACCUGGCCUGACCUGAUGGUUUUAUAAGGGUCUUCCUCCUCUGGUCAGCGCUCAUUCUCUCACCUGCCGCCGCCCUGUGAAGAGGUGCCUUCUGCCAUGGUUGCAAGUUUCCCGAGACCUCCCCAGCUACGCAGAACUGCUUCCAGCUGUCUCCUAAUUUCCUGGAUGAACUCUCCCCGGCGAUUUAACUGAUCCUGAAAAGUGGUGAGAGGACUGAGGAAGACAACCAGGACAAAGAACCUUGGGUACUAAUUCAGUGAGAAGCUGCUACAUUAAGGUGCACUGGCAAGACUGCAACAGUAUUGGGGAUUAUGGCUGAGGAAAUUGGAACACAGAGUAGUUAAGUGACUUGCUCAAGGU
ensembl:lncRNA novel transcript, antisense to OAS1, OAS2 and OAS3